GACGAACGCUGGCGGCGUGCUUAACACAUGCAAGUCGAACGGAAAGGCCCUGCUUGCAGGGUGCUCGAGUGGCGAACGGGUGAGUAACACGUGGGUGAUCUGCCCCUUACUUUGGGAUAAGCCUGGGAAACUGGGUCUAAUACUGGAUAGGACCAUGCUGUAGGUGGUGUGGUGGAAAGAUUAGUUUCGGUAAGGGAUGAGCUCGCGGCCUAUCAGCUUGUUGGUGGGGUAAUGGCCUACCAAGGCGUCGACGGGUAGCCGGCCUGAGAGGGUGGACGGCCACAUUGGGGCUGAGAUACGGCCCAGACUCCUACGGGAGGCAGCAGUGGGGAAUAUUGCACAAUGGGCGCAAGCCUGAUGCAGCGACGCCGCGUGGGGGAUGACGGCCUUCGGGUUGUAAACUCCUUUCAGCCAUGACGAAGCCUUCGGGUGACGGUAGUGGUAGAAGAAGCACCGGCUAACUACGUG
rnacentral:rRNA from 1 species